rnacentral:rRNA from 1 species
CACGUAGGGUGCGAGCGUUGUCCGGAAUUAUUGGGCGUAAAGAGCUCGUAGGCGGUGUGUCGCGUCGGCCGUGAAAACCUGCAGCUUAACUGUGGGCUUGCGGUCGAUACGGGCAUCACUGGAGUUCGGCAGGGGAGACUGGAAUUCCUGGUGUAGCGGUGAAAUGCGCAGAUAUCAGGAGGAACACCGGUGGCGGAAGGCGGGUCUCUGGGCAACAACUGACGCUGGAGGAGCGAAAGCCGUGGGGAGCGAACAGG